rnacentral:rRNA from 1 species
GAUGAACGCUGGCGGCGUGCCUAAUACAUGCAAGUCGAGCGAACAGACGAGGAGCUUGCUCCUCUGACGUUAGCGGCGGACGGGUGAGUAACACGUGGAUAACCUACCUAUAAGACUGGGAUAACUUCGGGAAACCGGAGCUAAUACCGGAUAAUAUAUUGAACCGCAUGGUUCAAUAGUGAAAGACGGUUUUGCUGUCACUUAUAGAUGGAUCCGCGCCGCAUUAGCUAGUUGGUAAGGUAACGGCUUACCAAGGCAACGAUGCGUAGCCGACCUGAGAGAGUGAUCGCCCACACUGGAGCGGGACCGGGGACAAGACUCCUGCGGGAGGCAGCAGUCGGGUAUCUUCGGCAGUGGGCGAAAGCCUGACGGAGCGACGCCGCGUGAGUGAUGAAGGUCUUGGGAUCGUAAAACUCUGUUAUUGGGGAAAAACAAAUGUGUAAGUAACUAUGCACGUCUUGACGGUACCUAAUAAAAAAGCCCCGGCUAACUACGUG